GGUCCAAACCCAAAUAUCUCUUCUACCUUACACUUCUACUAAAAUCAACAUCACAUCCCUUCUUGUUCUUCUUCUUCACUUCAUUUCUCUCAUAAACCAAAAUCAAUCAAAAAAAUCCCAAUUUUCUUCAAAACCCUAACCCUAAUGGAACUCUCUCAUCUCUCCCUCUCCGAAAAUCACUUCUUCUUUUCUACUCCCACCUCCCCUUCUUCCUUAUCACACCGUCUUCCCUCAUUUCUCUCACUCUCCACCAAUCACCGUCGCCGGCGAAGAAGUUUCUGUUCCGCCUCGAAUUCCGAUACGUUAGUCGCCGCUACAGGUAAGAAGAAGCGUGAUGAGGAUGAUGGUGAUUUGAAGACGUGGAUGCAUAAGAAUGGACUUCCUCCAUGUAAAGUUGUUUUGAAGGAUAAACCUUCGCUUGAUGACAGUGUUAAACCUAUUCAUUAUGUUGCUGCUAGUGAAGAUCUUCAGAAAGGGGAUAUUGCUUUCUCAGUUCCAAAUUCAUUGGUUGUCACUCUAGAGCGUGUCUUGGGAAACGAGACUAUUGCCGAGCUAUUGACCACAAACAAGUUUUCCGAAUUGGCGUGCUUGGCCUUGUAUCUGAUGUAUGAGAAAAAACAGGGAAAGAAAUCUUUCUGGUAUCCAUACAUUAGGGAACUUGAUCGGCAACGAGGCAGGGGUCAACUGGCAGUGGAAUCACCUCUUCUAUGGUCAGAGUCUGAGCUGGCAUACCUUGAAGGAAGUCCGUUAAAGGAUGAAAUUGUUAAAAGGAUUGAAGGAAUAAGAAAAGAGUAUAAUGAACUAGACACGGUCUGGUUUAUGUCUGGUUCUCUCUUUCAGCAAUACCCAUAUGACCUUCCUACCGAGGCUUUUCCAUUUGAGAUUUUCAAACAAGCUUUUGCAGCAGUUCAGUCAUGUGUUGUGCAUUUACAGAAUGUUAGCUUAGCUCGGAGAUUUGCGCUGGUUCCACUGGGACCUCCUUUGUUGGCCUACUGUAGCAACUGCAAGGCAAUGUUAACUGCUGUUGAUGGUGCUGUUCAGCUUGUGGUCGAUCGCCCCUAUAAAGCUGGGGACCCGAUUGUUGUCUGGUGUGGCCCACAGCCUAACACAAAGUUACUUACAAACUAUGGCUUUGUUGAUGAAGAUAAUUCCAAUGACCGACUCAUAGUUGAGGUGGCUUUGAGUACUGAAGAUCCACAAUAUCAAGAUAAAAGAAUAGUUGCUCAAAGAAAUGGAAAGCUAUCAAUUCAAACGUUUUAUGUAUAUACUGGGAAGGAAAGAGAAGCUGUCUCAGAUAUGAUUCCAUAUAUGCGUUUAGGCUAUGUUUCAGAUCCUUCUGAGAUGCAAUCUGUCAUCUCCUCUCAAGGUCCAGUUUGUCCAGUGAGCCCUUGUAUGGAGCGGGCCGUGCUGGACCAGCUUGCUGAUUAUUUCAAUACUCGGCUGGCUGCCUACCCUACUACCUUGGCUGAAGAUGAAUCUAUGUUGACAGAUGGCAGUUUGAAUCCAAAGAGGCGUGUUGCUACUCAACUUGUUAGGCUAGAAAAGAAAAUGCUUCAUGCAUGCUUGCAGGCAAUCAUGGAUCUCAUAAGCCAGCUACCAGACCACAGUGUAUCGCCAUGCCCUGCUCCCUAUGCACCAUCGUUAAAAUGAAAGGAACUGGAUAAUUUGUGCAGUACAAUAUGGGUUUAAUGAUCCAAGUUUGAAUAAUCAUGAUUGAUUGCUGUACCUAGAACAAUGCUGCUCGGAGUUUCAAAUCCAUAUAAAAAGGGGUUGGUUCAAGUAUUUUCUGUGCACCCCGUCAAGUAUAGGAGCAUCAGUGAAGCAUUUAUUUUCCCAAAACAUGUCGUUGGUCGCGCAGAUGAUUCUAAGUUUGAGUGUUGGAAUGAUAGUAAUCUUUUGUAAAUGGAAAUCUGUAUCACAAAUUGUAAUUCAUUUGUGUAUAUAUUUGUAUGCAGUUCUCAGGAAUAUAUUUGAUCCGAUCCCCUUCUCUAGUUUACUUUAAAAUUGUUAGAAAGAUCUCAAAUGUCACAAAAGGUUUUGUUUGCUGAAUGUGGUAUGACAUAGAGCAGCUAAAUAAUGACAGACAUGAAUUCUUGUUAA